CUUCUAAAUGCCACUUAAGGAAGUACUCCAGUUAAAGAUGACACAACACAAAAAGACAGUAAUAAUAUUAUUAUAACAUUAAGGCUUGAUUACAGGUUAUGAUGGCUUGUUGUAUCAUUGACAGUGCAGGUAGACAGGGCGAUAGUUUGGGGGUCCCACGGUCCCUCUUGCCACUGUCAUGUGACAACAUAGCCCCAGGGGAUUGGCUGAAAAACUGUUGUUAUUGGAACCCAUGGCACCAGUGCAUUGAUCCCCCAAACCCUAUGAUAUAGUUAGUACUGAGUGAGUGUGAGUGAGUUUAGUUUUACGCCGCACUCAGC